rnacentral:rRNA from 1 species
UACGUAGGGGGCAAGCGUUGUCCGGAAUCAUUGGGCGUAAAGAGCGUGUAGGCGGCCCGGUAAGUCCGCUGUGAAGGUCCAGGGCUCAACCCUGGGAUGCCGGUGGAUACUGUCGGGCUCGAGUCCGGAAGAGGAGUGUGGAAUUCCUGGUGUAGCGGUGAAAUGCGCAGAUAUCAGGAGGAACACCAAUGGCGAAGGCAGCACUCUGGGACGUGACUGACGCUGAGACGCGAAAGCGUGGGGAGCAAACAGG